CCUACGGGAGGCAGCAGUGGGGAAUUUUGGACAAUGGGCGCAAGCCUGAUCCAGCAAUGCCGCGUGCAGGAUGAAGGCCUUCGGGUUGUAAACUGCUUUUGUACGGAACGAAAAAGUCUGCCCUAAUACGGUGGGCCCAUGACGGUACCGUAAGAAUAAGCACCGGCUAACUACGUGCCAGCAGCCGCGGUAAUACGUAGGGUGCGAGCGUUAAUCGGAAUUACUGGGCGUAAAGCGUGCGCAGGCGGUUAUAUAAGACAGAUGUGAAAUCCCCGGGCUCAACCUGGGACCUGCAUUUGUGACUGUAUAGCUAGAGUACGGUAGAGGGGGAUGGAAUUCCGCGUGUAGCAGUGAAAUGCGUAGAUAUGCGGAGGAACACCGAUGGCGAAGGCAAUCCCCUGGACCUGUACUGACGCUCAUGCACGAAAGCGUGGGGAGCAAACAGGAUUAGAUACCCUGGUAGUCCACGCCCUAAACGAUGUCAACUGGUUGUUGGGUCUUCACUGACUCAGUAACGAAGCUAACGCGUGAAGUUGACCGCCUGGGGAGUACGGCCGCAAGGUUGAAACUCGAAAGGAUUGACGG
rnacentral:rRNA from 1 species